rnacentral:rRNA from 1 species
GACGUAGGGCGCGAGCGUUGUCCGGAUUUAUUGGGCGUAAAGAGCUCGUAGGCGGCUUGUCGCGUCGACUGUGAAAAACCCGCAGCUCAACUGUGGGCUUGCAGCCGAUACGGGCAGGCUAGAGUUCGGUAGGGGAGACUGGAAUUCCUGGUGUAGCGGUGAAAUGCGCAGAUAUCGGGAGGAACACCGGUGGCGAAGGCAGGUCUCUGGGCAUUAACUGACGCUGAGGAGCGAAAGCAUGGGGAGCGAACAGG